rnacentral:rRNA from 1 species
UGGGGAAUUUUGCACAAUGGGGGAAACCCUGAUGCAGCGACGCCGCGUGAUUUAGAAGGCCUUCGGGUUGUAAAAAUCUUUUCUAUGGGAAGAAAAUGACAGUACCAUAGGAAUAAGGACCGGCUAAUUACGUGCCAGCAGCCGCGGUAAUACGUUAGGUCCGAGCGUUGUCCGGAAUCAUUGGGCGUAAAGGGUACGUAGGCGGGUAAGCAAGUUAGAAGUGAAAUCCUAUAGCUCAACUAUAGUAAGCUUUUAAAACUGCUCAUCUUGAGGUAUGGAAGGGAAAGUGGAAUUCCUAGUGUAGCGGUGAAAUGCGCAGAUAUUAGGAGGAAUACCGGUGGCGAAGGCGACUUUCUGGCCAUAACCUGACGCUGAGGUACGAAAGCGUGGGUAGCAAACAGG